CCCUCACCCGCCCAAUUGUUGCCGCCUCAGCCCCCUCCCCCUUCCGGGUACCUGGAAACCUCGAGCCCGGGAGCCAAUUCCUGCCGGGGACGCGGGCCCGGGCGGCCGCGGGAAGCCAAGGAUACCACAUUACAUUUAGUGUUCAUGUCUCCCUAGGCUCCUCUUGGCUGUGACAAUUUCUCAUACGUUCCUCGUUUUUGCUGGGCUCCAUGGUUUUGAGGAAUACUGCACUGUUUGAAGCCUCAGAGUCUUCUGCUUCCGUUGGCAGAAGAGGGGCGGACCAGUGGAGGAGCCAUCUCAGAUUCAUAAAAACCCUGGCUUAGAGACUGGAUGAUAGCUUCAAGACUAAGAUGACCAUGAAAAGAAGAAGACACUGACUAUGCAGAAUGAGAACCAUUGGAUGACUUAUUUUCUCCAUUCACCUACCCUCUUUUUUCCCUCCAUCUUCACCUCAGUUGGAAGACUAGAGAAGCUGAGCAGUAAAUUCUGAGUCCCAGUGCCAGAAGAAAGAAAUACCUUUUUAGUCACAGAAAAAGAGAGAAUAAGGAACGCAUGGUCAUAAUGUGUCGAUAAAGUGGCUUCAUCGUGUGAUAAAUGAAGGUGAAUGGAGAAUUCCCUUGAGUCAAGCGUGUGGGCUAUUAUAAAGAUUUGAGGAGGAAAACUAUAGAAAAGCACUUUACCACAAACAGAAUAUGGAAAGAAAUAAGAAAUCUUGGCUGUACACCCAGCUCAUGUACUGAAGAGUUUAACAAGUCCAGGGUAGAGUCAUCAUACUACCCUUACCAGAGAGAGAGCACAAGCAGGGGGAGCAGCAGAAGGAGAGGGAGAAGCAAGCUCCCUGCCCAGCAAGGAGCCUGAUGUGGGACUCGAUCCCAGGACCCUGAGAUCAUGACCUGGGCCGAAGGCAGACGCUUAACCUACUGAGCCACCCAGGUGUCCCAAGAGCACAAGCAGAGGGAGAGAGCGAGAGAGAAGCAGGCUCCCUGCUGAGCAAGGAGCCCGAUGCGGGACUUGAUCCCAGGACCCUGGGAUCAUGACCCGGGCCGAAGGCAGCCGCUUAACCAACUGAGCCACCCAGGCGUCCCUAUUGGGUUGAACUUUAAAUAUGUUAAAUGGAAAGACUAAAUGGGACAGGCCUAUAUUUUAAACUAAUGCACCUGAUCAAUAGGUACCAAGUAACUCUUCAACCUGACUAUAUUUGUAAUGACUACAUGUUCCACAUUUACCAAAAUGGUUUCUGUUCAACUAUUCCUGUUCCUCAUUUUUGUUUUAUACCUCAUUUUUGGCUUAUAUCCAUUUCUUUCUCAAAAAUAAACAAACAAUACAGUUCAAACUUUGGGAGAAGUUUCCAGGCCAGAUCCAGUGGUCAUGAAAUUUUCCCACAUAAGGUAGAAUUUGGAACCAAAAAAAAAUUGCUGAUAUUCAACAUCAUUUUUUUCUCCAAAUUAUCACCAUGCUUGCUUACCAGGCUCUGGUAUAGAUUUAGAUUGUUCUUCCUUAACCACAAGAGAGUGCAUUGACAUCAUUUCUGAGUUGGGAAAGGCACAUCACAAGUGUUGCAGGAGACAUGUGUGUGUUAGCAUAUAUUAUGAAUAUUUGCCAGGCUCCUUGAGGAAAAUAUUUAUGACAGAAAUUAGGAAUGCUGGAUAUUGUGUUGACUCAUAUAUAUUAAUUAAAUAUCAAUAGACAUAGAGAUUCGUUGUCUUAUAAUUCGGGGCACUUUUUGAAUGAGAGGUUGAAAAACAAGAAUCCUCAUCAAUUAUGGAAAAUUAUCCCUCAAAAGUAAAUACUGCCUCUUUGCAAAUCUCUUUAUUUUUUCCACCUGGAAUUCCAAUGGUACAGACUUGAACCUUUUUCUCUCUAUGGCUUUUGUCCUCUUUUUAAUGUGUGUUGGUGCUGCAUUCUGGAUGAUUUCAUCAGUUCUAUCUUCCAGUCUACUAAUUCUUUUAUUUCUUUUAUUUUAGCUCUGCUUAAUCUACUGUGUAACCCAUACAGUUUAAAAAUAAACAUUUGUGAAGGCCCUGGGUCUUUUAUAUGAUAUCUUGUUCUUUUGAAGGAAACAUGAAAUAUACAUACAUAGGAGUGUAUAACUUAUUAAUCAUAAUGAAUGUCUUUUUCAGGGAGUUUCUUUUGGGUGCUUCUUUUCAAUUUUUUAUUUUUUGUUUACUUCCUUGUAUUUAGAAAUUAUAUGUCC